rnacentral:rRNA from 1 species
GACGAAGGGGGCAAGCGUUGUUCGGAAUUACUGGGCGUAAAGCGAGUGUAGGUGGUUGUCAUAGUCAGGUGUGAAAGCCUUGAGCUCAACUCAAGAAAUGCACUUGAUACUGGGCAGCUAGAGGACCGGAGAGGAUAGUGGAAUUCCCAGUGUAGUGGUGAAAUACGUAGAGAUUGGGAAGAACACCAGUGGCGAAGGCGGCUAUCUGGACGGUUUCUGACACGUAAGACUCGAAAGCGAUGGG